rnacentral:snRNA from 1 species
UUUCUUGCCUGUGCAGGAUGUUCCGGUGAUCAGAAAGGCCGGUUAAGUCCCGGGUGGCAUCGCCAUUGCACAUCGGCCUGGUGCCACCUGCCUCUGCCUAAAUAAGUGCAGAGACGAGCACUCAAUUUUUUGCAGGACGCGCCAAAAAAGGCCGUC